rnacentral:rRNA from 1 species
UACGUAGGCAGCGAGCGUUGUUCGGAAUUACUGGGCGUAAAGAGUGUGUAGGCGGUGCUCUAAGUUCGGUGUGAAAUCUCCUGGCUUAACUGGGAGGGUGCGCCGGAAACUGGAGUGCUUGAGCGUGGGAGAGGAAAGCGGAAUUCCUGGUGUAGCGGUGAAAUGCGUAGAUAUCAGGAGGAAUACCGAUGGCGAAGGCAGCCCCCUGGGUCGAUACUGACGCUCAUGCACGAAAGCGUGGGGAGCAAACAGG